AAAUCCAAACAAUUUUGUUUAAUCCAAGAAAAGAAUCAACGAACUGUCCAAAGGCUAGUAAAAACAUACAUUCAAUUGCUUUUGGUGUCCCAUCUAAAUCUUUAUCACGUAAGCGUGACCUUUUUACAUAGGUGUGACUGACACCAUUACAGAUUCCUUGGCCCACCAGGAAGGGCAAACACCAACCACAGAGCAGGCUGUGAAUUUCAUAAUGCUCUUGUUAUAAUCCAAAAAAUAGAAAUGGAAAA